rnacentral:rRNA from 1 species
AGAGUUUGAUCCUGGCUCAGAUUGAACGCUGGCGGCAUGCCUUACACAUGCAAGUCGAACGGCAGCGCGGGUGCUUGCACCUGGUGGCGAGUGGCGAACGGGUGAGUAAUGUAUCGGAACGUACCAUUCAGUGGGGGAUAACUAUCCGAAAGGAUAGCUAAUACCGCAUAUUCUGUGAGCAGGAAAGCAGGGGAUCGCAAGACCUUGCGCUGAUUGAGCGGCCGAUAUCAGAUUAGCUAGUUGGUGGGGUAAAAGCCUACCAAGGCGACGAUCUGUAGCGGGUCUGAGAGGAUGAUCCGCCACACUGGAACUGAGACACGGUCCAGACUCCUACGGGAGGCAGCAGUGGGGAAUUUUGGACAAUGGGCGAAAGCCUGAUCCAGCCAUGCCGCGUGAGUGAAGAAGGCCUUCGGGUUGUAAAGCUCUUUCGGCCGGGAAGAAAUCGCAUAGGUUAAUACCCUGUGUGGAUGACGGUACCGGAAUAAGAAGCACCGGCUAACUACGUGCCAGCAGCCGCGGUAAUACGUAGGGUGCGAGCGUUAAUCGGAAUUACUGGGCGUAAAGCGUGCGCAGGCGGUUUUUUAAGACAGGCGUGAAAUCCCCGGGCUUAACCUGGGAACUGCGCUUGUGACUGGAAGGCUAGAGUACGGCAGAGGGGGGUGGAAUUCCACGUGUAGCAGUGGAAAUGCGUAGAGAUGUGGAGGAACACCGAUGGCGAAGGCAGCCCCCUGGGCCGAUACUGACGCUCAUGCACGAAAGCGUGGGGAGCAAACAGGAUUAGAUACCCUGGUAGUCCACGCCCUAAACGAUGUCAACUAGGUGUUGGGUGGGUAAAACCAUUUAGUACCGGAGCUAACGCGUGAAGUUGACCGCCUGGGGAGUACGGCCGCAAGGUUAAAACUCAAAUGAAUUGACGG